GACGAACGCUGGCGGCGUGCUUAACACAUGCAAGUCGAACGGUAAGGCCCUUCGGGGUACACGAGUGGCGAACGGGUGAGUAACACGUGGGUGAUCUGCCCUGCACUUCGGGAUAAGCCUGGGAAACUGGGUCGAAUACCGGAUAGGACCACUGCCUGCAUGGGUGGUGGUGGAAAGCGUUUGCGGUGUGGGAUGGGCCCGCGGCCUAUCAGCUUGUUGGUGGGGUGAUGGCCUACCAAGGCGACGACGGGUAGCCGGCCUGAGAGGGUGACCGGCCACACUGGGACUGAGAUACGGCCCAGACUCCUACGGGAGGCAGCAGUGGGGAAUAUUGCACAAUGGGCGCAAGCCUGAUGCAGCGACGCCGCGUGAGGGAUGACGGCCUUCGGGUUGUAAACCUCUUUCAGCACCGACGAAGCGCAAGUGACGGUAGGUGCAGAAGAAGGACCGGCCAACUACGUGCCAGCCGCCGCAGUAA
rnacentral:rRNA from 1 species